CUAUGACGGGUAUCCGGCCUGAGAGGGUGAGCGGACACACUGGAACUGAGACACGGUCCAGACUCCUACGGGAGGCAGCAGUAGGGAAUAUUGCUCAAUGGGGGAAACCCUGAAGCAGCAACGCCGCGUGGAGGAUGAAGGUUUUAGGAUCGUAAACUCCUUUUGUUAGAGAAGAUAAUGACGGUAUCUAACGAAUAAGCACCGGCUAACUCCGUGCCAGCAGCCGCGGUAAUACGGAGGGUGCAAGCGUUACUCGGAAUCACUGGGCGUAAAGAGUGCGUAGGCGGGAGGACAAGUCAGGUGUGAAAUCCUAUGGCUUAACCAUAGAACUGCAUUUGAAACUAUCCUUCUGGAGUGUGGGAGAG
rnacentral:rRNA from 1 species